rnacentral:rRNA from 1 species
GACGAACGCUGGCGGCGUGCCUAAUACAUGCAAGUAGAACGCUGAAGAGAGGAGCUUACUCUUCUUGGAUGAGUUGCGAACGGGUGAGUAACGCGUAGGUAACCUGCCUUGUAGCGGGGGAUAACUAUUGGAAACGAUAGCUAAUACCGCAUAACAAUGGAUGACACAUGUCAUUUAUUUGAAAGGGGCAAUUGCUCCACUACAAGAUGGACCUGCGUUGUAUUAGCUAGUAGGUGAGGUAAUGGCUCACCUAGGCGACGAUACAUAGCCGACCUGAGAGGGUGAUCGGCCACACUGGGACUGAGACACGGCCCAGACUCCUACGGGAGGCAGCAGUAGGGAAUCGUCGGCAAUGGGGGCAACCCUGACCGCGCAACGCCGCGUGAGUGAAGAAGGGUUUCGGAUCGUAAAGCUCUGUUGUAAGUCAAGAACGGGUGUGAGAGUGGAAAGUUCACACUGUGACGGUAGCUUACCAGAAAGGGACGGCUAACUACGUG